rnacentral:rRNA from 1 species
AACGAACGCUGGCGGCAGGCCUAACACAUGCAAGUCGAGCGAAGCCUUCGGGCUUAGCGGCGGACGGGUGAGUAACGCGUGGGAACGUGCCCUUUGGUACGGAAUAGCCCCGGGAAACUGGGAGUAAUACCGUAUGUGGUCGAGAGACGAAAGAUUUAUCGCCAAAGGAUCGGCCCGCGUUGGAUUAGGUAGUUGGUGGGGUAAUGGCCUACCAAGCCGACGAUCCAUAGCUGGUUUGAGAGGAUGAUCGGCCACACUGGGACUGAGACACGGCCCAGACUCCUGCGGGAGGCAGCAGUGGGGGAUCUUAGACAAUGGGGGAAACCCUGAUCUAGCCAUGCCGCGUGAUCGAUGAAGGCCUUAGGGUUGUAAAGAUCUUUCAGUGGGGAAGAUAAUGACUGUACCCACAGAAGAAGCCCCGGCUAACUCCGUUACAGCCGCCGCGGUAACAC